UACGGAGGGUGCUAGCGUUGUUCGGAUUUAUUGGGCGUAAAGCGUGCGUAGGCGGCUUUGUAAGUCAGAGGUGAAAGCCCACGACUCAAUCGUGGAACUGCCUUUGAGACUGCUUCGCUUGACGAUGGGAGAGGUUAGUGGAAUUCCGAGUGUAGAGGUGAAAUUCGUAGAUAUUCGGAAGAACACCAGUGGCGAAGGCGGCUAACUGGACCAUUCUUGACGCUGAGGUACGAAAGCGUGGGGAGCAAACAGG
rnacentral:rRNA from 1 species